rnacentral:lncRNA from 10 species
CUGGCAGAGGUGGUUGGGGCUAUGUGCCUGGAGUGAAGAUUCUGCCCAUUGGUCAAGAGACCUCCCUCUCAGAUGCUGGCUCUGCCCCUGCCUUUGGGGGUCGACCCUUGUACUCGCAGGACCUUAGGUGACUCUGGGCGUCCAGGACAUUUUGGGGAGGUCGUGUCUGGAAAAUCUGAUAUUGGGUUAAAUGAAAGGCCAUUUGGGUCUAUCUGGAUAUCAGGGAUCCAAUCGUCAUCACUCUGUAUGGGAGCUGGUGAUAUAGGAGGCAUCAUAGUUGCAAUGAGAUCAGAGUCCUGAAAGUCAGAAAAGGACUUUGUCAAAGGAAAAAUUUCUGCAUGUGCACACACAGAUCUUGGAAGUUUAUUCAUCUCAGCAGAGGCAGACAGGAGCAUCAACAGCCUUGGGGACAGCAGCAGUGGUGGUAGGGCAAAAUAAAACUUAUAUGAAACUGUA